GGGGUCGGAUGAGGUACUGGUGUUCUCCUUGGUCUUCAAAACCAAUUGGGAGGCGCGUGUCGCCUUCGGUGGGUUCGAUUCCCACACGAUCCCGCCA
rnacentral:tRNA from 1 species